GAUGAACGCUAGCGGCAGGCUUAAUACAUGCAAGUCGUGGGGCAGCAGGACUGUAGCAAUACAGUUGCUGGCGACCGGCAAACGGGUGCGGAACACGUACGCAAUCUACCCAGAACUGGUGAAUAGCCCUCCGAAAGGAGGAUUAAUACACCGUAACAUUAUAAAGUGGCAUCACUUAAUAAUUAAAGCUCCGGCGGUUUUGGAUGAGCGUGCGGCCCAUUAGGUAGUUGGUUGAGGUAAUGGCUCACCAAGCCUGCGAUGGGUAACUGGUGUGAGAGAACGACCAGUCACACGGGCACUGAGACACGGGCCCGACUCCGACGGGAGGCAGCAGUAAGGAAUAUUGGUCAAUGGACGCAAGUCUGAACCAGCCAUGCCGCGUGGAGGAUGAAGGCCCUCUGGGUUGUAAACUUCUUUUAUGGGGGACGAAAUCACUUAUUCUUAAGUGUCUGACGGUACCCCAGGAAUAAGCACCGGCUAACUCCGUGCCAGCCGCCGCCGUAA
rnacentral:rRNA from 1 species